AUUGAACGCUGGCGGCAGGCCUAACACAUGCAAGUCGAACGAGUGGCGGACGGGUGAGUCAUGUCUGUGAAACUGCCAGAUGGAGGGGGAUAACUACUGGAAACGGUAGCUAAUAACGCAUACCAUUGGAUGUGCCCAGAUGGGAUUAGCUUGUAGGGGAGGUAACGGCGCACCUAGGUGACGAUCCCUAGCUGGUCUGAGAGGAUGACCAGCAACACUGGAACUGAGACACGGUCCAGACGCCUACGGGAGGCAGCAGUGGGGAAGAUUUCACAAUGGGCGAAAGCCUGAUGCAGCCAUGCCGCGUGUAUGAAGAAGGCCUUCGGGUUGUAAAGUACUUUCAGCGGGGAGGCGUUACCCGCAGAAGAAGAACCGGCUAACUCCGUGCCAGCAGCCGCGGUAAUAC
rnacentral:rRNA from 1 species